rnacentral:rRNA from 1 species
CCUACGGGUGGCAGCAGUGAGGAAUAUUGGUCAAUGGGAGAGAUCCUGAACCAGCCAAGCCGCGUGAGGGAAGACGGCCCUAUGGGUUGUAAACCUCUUUUGUCGGAGAACAAAACCCGGGACGUGUCCCGGACUGCGUGUAUCCGAAGAAAAAGCAUCGGCUAACUCCGUGCCAGCAGCCGCGGUAAUACGGAGGAUGCGAGCGUUAUCCGGAUUUAUUGGGUUUAAAGGGUGCGUAGGCGGUCCGUUAAGUCAGCGGUAAAAUUGCGGGGCUCAACCCCGUCGAGCCGUUGAAACUGGCAGCCUUGCGUUGGCGUGCGGUACGCGGAAUGCGCGGUGUAGCGGUGAAAUGCUUAGAUAUCGCGCAGAACUCCGAUUGCGAAGGCAGCGUACCGGCGCCCGUCUGACGCUGAGGCACGAAGGCCCGGGGAGCGAACUGGAUUAGAUACCCUUGUAGUC